rnacentral:misc_RNA from 1 species
CGCAUCUUGCGCCCCUUGGCAUUCCGAGGGGCACGCCUGUUUGAGCGUCGUGAACUACCAUCGACCCUCGGCUUUUGUAAUGAAGGCCUCGGGGCGGAUUUGGACGUUGCGGGGGGCCCUUAGGGGCGUCCGCUCGUCUUGAAAUGCAUCAGUCGGACUUCGACGCCUCGGUCUAAUGGCGGCGUGAUAAGGCUUCUCUUGCCGUAAUCGUCGCCUACACGGUCGGGGGGGAGGGGAGGCCGGCUUCUAACCGUCCUCGGAGGACAACAACUUGCGAUCUGACCUCAAAUCAGGCGGGACUACCCGCCGAACUUAA